rnacentral:rRNA from 1 species
GAUGAACGCUGGCGGCGUGCCUAAUACAUGCAAGUCGAGCGAACGGACGAGAAGCUUGCUUCUCUGAUGUUAGCGGCGGACGGGUGAGUAACACGUGGAUAACCUACCUAUAAGACUGGGAUAACUUCGGGAAACCGGAGCUAAUACCGGAUAAUAUUUUGAACCGCAUGGUUCAAAAGUGAAAGACGGUCUUGCUGUCACUUAUAGAUGGAUCCGCGCUGCAUUAGCUAGUUGGUAAGGUAACGGCUUACCAAGGCAACGAUGCAUAGCCGACCUGAGAGGGUAAUCGGCCACACUGGAACUAAGACACGGUCCAGACUCCUACGGGAGGCAGCAGUAGGGAAUCUUCCGCAAUGGGCGAAAGCCUGACGGAGCAACGCCGCGUGAGUGAUGAAGGUCUUCGGAUCGUAAAACUCUGUUAUUAGGGAAGAACAUAUGUGUAAGUAACUGUGCACAUCUUGACGGUACCUAAUCAGAAAGCCACGGCUAACUACGUG